rnacentral:rRNA from 1 species
CAUGUAGGCGGAUUAAUAAGUUUGAAGUGAAAUCCUAUAGCUUAACUAUAGAACUGCUUUGAAAACUGUUAAUCUAGAAUGUGGGAGAGGUAGAUGGAAUUUCUGGUGUGGGGGUAAAUCCGUAGAGAUCAGAAGGAAUACCGAUUGCGAAGGCGAUCUACUGGAACAUUAUUGACGCUGAGAUGCGAAAGCGUGGGGAGCAAACA